rnacentral:rRNA from 1 species
GAUGAACGCUGGCGGCAUGCCUAAUACAUGCAAGUCGAGCGAACAGAUGAAGUGCUUGCACUUCUGACGUUAGCGGCGAACGGGUGAGUAACACGUAAGGAAUCUACCUAUAAGCGGGGGAUAACAUUCGGAAACGGGUGCUAAUACCGCAUAAUAUCUUCUUCCGCAUGGAAGAAGAUUGAAAGACGGCUCUGCUGUCACUUAUAGAUGACCUUGCGGUGCAUUAGUUAGUUGGUGGGGUAAUGGCCUACCAAGACGAUGAUGCAUAGCCGACCUGAGAGGGGGAUCGGCCACAUUGGGACUGAGACACGGCCCAAACUCCUACGGGAGGCAGCAGUAGGGAAUCUUCCGCAAUGGGCGAAAGCCUGGCGGAGCAAUGCCGCGUGAGUGAAGAAGGCCUUCGGGUCGUAAAACUCUGUUAUAAGAGAAGAACAAAUUGUAGAGUAACUGCUACAGUCUUGACGGUAUCUUAUCAGAAAGCCACGGCUAACUACGUGCCAGCCGCCGCCGUAA